ensembl:lncRNA
GGAUAGGGUUAGGGGGGGUUAGGUGUUGGGUAAAGACCAGGCCCGGCUAUUGCCGGAACCUGAAUGCACGGUCCAUCAAUGGGACUGGGAACGGUGCCCCCUGUUCAAAAAAUUACCCUUAGCGGGUGUAGUGCACUGCCGUUGGGCCAUCGCGACGUUUCGGCUGGGUGCAGCCUUCUUCAGGCUGGCCCAACGUCUUUCUGUUCUCUAUGUUGCCACUCGGGGCCUUUUAUACUGGGCUGUCUCCGCCCCUUUUGUUUCUCUUGAGAUUUCUUUUUCUAAUUUUUUCUGUUUCUCAGCUUUUACGUGAUUCUCCCUUUUUCUAUCUUUCUUUACGUUUUGUCUUUCAACCUCAACCCUUGUUUACUUGUUUUUUUCUAUAUUUUCUUCUUUCUGUUUAUAUGGCACCCCCUGCAUUGUAGACAUCCCGUCCUGUGUUCUUUAUAUUUUCUUUAAUGGCACCCCCUUCCUUUAUAUCCUUUCCAUUUUUUCUGUUUGUGUCACUUAUUCCUUCUUUGUUUAUCUUAUCUUUCUUUGUGUCUUUAACGUGACUUUCUUAUUAUUAUCUUGUGUCUUUUACGUGACUUCCUUAUGCUCUUUCUUGAGUUUUCUUAUCUUUCUUUGUGUCCUUUACGUGACUUUCUUAGUUUCUCUUUUCUUUGUUUGUGUCCCUUUUUCCCUCUUUGUUUUUCUUAUCUUUCUUUGUGUCUUUUACGUGACUUUCUUCUUCCUUUUCUUAGGUUUGAUAUUGUUCCCUUAGGUGAGGGAUAAGAGGGGGGAGGGGGGGAGGGGGGUCAAAGGGGUUAGGGUUAGGGAAAGUUAGUGGGUGGGGGGAUUCCCAUUCUUAGGGAGUUAUUAGGCAGGGGCACCACCAAUCCCAUGAGGCACAGGCUGGUUAGGUGUUGGGUAAAGACCAGGCCCGGCUAUUGCCGGAACCUGAAUGCACGGUCCAUCAAUGGGACUGGGAACGGUGCCCCCUGUUCAAAAAAUUACCCUUAGCGGGUGUAGUGCACUGCCGUUGGGCCAUCGCGACGUUUCGGCUGGGUGCAGCCUUCUUCAGGCUGGCCCAACGUCUUUCUGUUCUCUAUGUUGCCACUCGGGGCCUUUUAUACUGGGCUGUCUCCGCCCCUUUUGUUUCUCUUGAGAUUUCUUUUUCUAAUUUUUUCUGUUUCUCAGCUUUUACGUGAUUCUCCCUUUUUCUAUCUUUCUUUACGUUUUGUCUUUCAACCUCAACCCUUGUUUACUUGUUUUUUUCUAUAUUUUCUUCUUUCUGUUUAUAUGGCACCCCCUGCAUUGUAGACAUCCCGUCCUGUGUUCUUUAUAUUUUCUUUAAUGGCA